UACGAAGGGGGCUAGCGUUGCUCGGAAUCACUGGGCGUAAAGGGUGCGUAGGCGGGUCUUUAAGUCAGGGGUGAAAUCCUGGAGCUCAACUCCAGAACUGCCUUUGAUACUGAAGAUCUUGAGUUCGGGAGAGGUGAGUGGAACUGCGAGUGUAGAGGUGAAAUUCGUAGAUAUUCGCAAGAACACCGGUGGCGAAGGCGGCAUCCUGGACCAACACUGACGCUGAGGAGCGAAAGCCAGGGGAGCAAACGGG
rnacentral:rRNA from 1 species